UGUGCCUACAAUCCGUCAGAGCCCUCGCUUUAUGUGUGGGGUGAUGGCGUGCCUUUUGAAGAAUGAGCCUGCGAGUCAGGGACAUGUCGCGAGGUUAACCCGGGUGGGGUAGCCGCAGCGAAAGCGAGUCUGAAUAGGGCGUAUCCAAUUCAUAGGAAUUGGUGUAGUGGUGUGUUCUGGACCCGAAGCGGAGUGAUCUACCCAUGGCCAGGGUGAAGCAGCAGUAAGAUGUUGUGGAGG
rnacentral:rRNA from 1 species